rnacentral:rRNA from 1 species
GUAACAAGGUUUCCGUAGGUGAACCUGCGGAAGGAUCAUUGUCGUGACCCUGACCAAAACAGACCGCGCACGAGUUAUCUAGCCCGCUGGGCGGCGGCAUCGUCCGUCGCUUGGCAAAAGUCCUCKACAACCUCAUCUUUUCKKAGUUGGGGCUCGGGGUAAAAGAACCCACGGCGCCGAAGGCGUCAAGGAACACUGUGCCUAACGAGGGGAUGUGGCUGGCUUGCUAGCCGCACCCCGAGUUGCAAUUCUAUAUAAUCCACACGACUCUCGGCAACGGAUAUCUCGGCUCUCGCAUCGAUGAAGAACGUAGCGAAAUGCGAUACCUGGUGUGAAUUGCAGAAUCCCGCGAACCAUCGAGUCUUUGAACGCAAGUUGCGCCCGAGGCCUCUUGGCCGAGGGCACGCCUGCCUGGGCGUCACGCCAAACACGCUCCCACCCAACUAACUUGGGGUGGGACGCGGCAUGUGGCUCCUCGUCCCGCAAGGGGCGGUGGGCCAAAGAUCCGGCUGCCGGCCUAUCGUGCCGGACACAGCGCGUGGUAGGUMGACCUCGCUUUACUAAACGCAGUGCCUCCGGCGCGUAGCCGACGCGAUGGCCCCAAUGGACCCUUUUAACGGAGUGCAUGACGCUUC